UGUCUCUCUCUAUACCUCCCCCCAUCACAAGUCAUGAAUGUCCUAUUUCUUCUGCACCCCUGUAAAAUGUGGAGCAAGAUGUUAGAAAAGGAGAUAGAUCGUGGGAGUGUCUUAUUUAAACUUUUCUGCUCAUUUGUUUUUAAAUCAGUAACGCAUUACUUUUAUAUUGAGAAAAUAAAAUGAUGCUAUUUUCCUUUGAGUGGAGAGUU
rnacentral:lncRNA from 1 species